rnacentral:hammerhead_ribozyme from 1 species
AUCCAGCUGACGAGUCCCAAAUAGGGUGGAAUGUGAGUCCUGGAU